rnacentral:rRNA from 1 species
CAGCCGCCGCGGGAAAACGUAGGUGGCAAGCGUUGUCCGGAAUUAUUGGGCGUAAAGGGCUCGCAGGCGGUUUCUUAAGUCUGAUGUGAAAGCCCCCGGCUCAACCGGGGAGGGUCAUUGGAAACUGGGAAACUUGAGUGCAGAAGAGGAGAGUGGAAUUCCACGUGUGGCGGUGAAAUGCGUAGAGAUGUGGAGGAGCACCAGUGGCGGAGGCGACUCUCUGGUCUGUAACUGACGCUGAGGAGCGAAAGCGUGGGGAGCGAACAGGAUUAGAUACCCCCGUAGUCCCUGUCUCUUAUAC